GCCAGGUGUGGUGGCUCACACCUGUAAUCCUAGCACUUUGGGAGGCAGAGGCAGGUGGAUUGCCAGAGCUCAGGAGUUCGAGACCAGCCUGAGCAACAUGGUAAAAUCCCGUCUCUA
rnacentral:SRP_RNA from 1 species